AGCAGCAGCCUCGCCUGGCCACCUGAGAGGGAUCAUGCAUGCCAGGCUCUGCCUCCAAACCCAGUGGUCCCACCCAGAGGCCACCCACCUCUGCCCAGUCACCGUUCUCCCCGAAAGGCCAGGGCUGCCCUGCUUUCUGGGGCGGCUGCUUGAGAUUUGCUCCAGCAGCAUCAGCCUGCCUGGUGUCGCCGAGGCAACGCGGUCCCCAGGGAAGCUGAUGUGUUGCUGCAGCAACGCGAUGCUCUGCAGCCACGGCACCACGGAGGCAGGAUUUGGGCUUGCUGGCAACACCGAGUCCUGCUAGGGUUGAAAAGUCAGGGUGGCCGAAGGAUCACAACAGGGGCACACACAAAAUGUGUCUGUAACUCCCACUGUAAAGCAGCUGCUAGGUAAAUUAUGAAUAUUCUCAGCAGGAUACAUUUAAAUGAUCUUGUCAGUCUUACUCUGGACCUCUUGAUUCAGCAGCUCUGUAUGGCUGAUAGCCUUGGGGAUGAAAAUCACACAAAGUUGCAGGAGAGGCACUGUACAAGCAACACCCAUCCAAUUAGUUUCUGAUACAGACAGGAUUUAACUCAUAGUGGAAGGCAGCAAGCACUUCUCAGCCCUACAAACCCAUCAUUUUUUUGCUGAUAUGACCAAUGAGGGAUCUAAACAUGGAUCUAAACAUCUAUAAUCCUCUGGCUUGGAAGCUGAGAACACCCAUUCCUUUAACAAAGACAUCCACACGGCAGCCAACCAUCAAGUACUUUUAUAAAACUCAAGAACCUAAACUAAUUUGGAAAAAUGGCCUGGAAGAAAGAACUUUCACAUUCCCAUUAUCUUCCCCCGAGACAUAUAAUCCUCUAUCAACAUUUUUAUAAUGUAUGCUCAAGCACAGCAUGUGAAGAAUGACAGAAAAAUGCAGUUGGAACUGCUUACUAAUUUUCUCUGAAAGCUGAAUGGAGCUGUGGAGCACUGGUUAACUGAACUGCAUGCUGUGCUAUACAUUUAAUUAAAAUAAGUGCUAACAGAUGUAGUAGAGCCCAUAAAAAGGUUUU